rnacentral:rRNA from 1 species
UACGUAGGGGGCAAGCGUUGUCCGGAAUCAUUGGGCGUAAAGAGCGUGUAGGCGGCCCGAUAAGUCCGCUGUGAAAGCCCAGGGCUCAACCCUGGGAGGCGGGUGGAUACUACGGAACUGGAGUACGGAAGAGGAGAUUGGAAUUCCUGGUGUAGCGGUGAAAUGCGCAGAUAUCAGGAGGAACACCAACAGCGAAGGCAGAUCUCUGGGACGUUACUGACGCUGAGACGCGAAAGCGUGGGGAGCAAACAGG